rnacentral:tRNA from 1 species
GUGAGAUAGCAUAAUUGGUAAUGCGGUUGCCUUUUAAGCAGCAGAUGAGGUUCGAAUCCUUAAUCACACC